GACGUAGGGCGCGAGCGUUGUCCGGAUUUAUUGGGCGUAAAGAGCUCGUAGGCGGCUUGUCGCGUCGACUGUGAAAUCCCGCGGCUCAACUGCGGGUCUGCAGUCGAUACGGGCAGGCUAGAGUUCGGUAGGGGAGACGUGGAAUUCCUGGUGUAGCGGUGAAAUGCGCAGAUAUCAGGAGGAACACCGGUGGCGAAGGCGGGUCUCUGGGCCGAUACUGACGCUGAGGAGCGAAAGCGUGGGGAGCGAACAGG
rnacentral:rRNA from 1 species